AAGGUUUUAAGUUAAUGUAUUCUAAACUAUUAAUCUUCAAAAUUAAAAAUAAAGUAAAUUCUUUAAGCCUUA
rnacentral:tRNA from 1 species